GACGAACGCUGGCGGCGUGCUUAACACAUGCAAGUCGAACGGUGAAGCGCCUUCCUUUUUGGUGGGUGUGGAUGAGUGGCGAACGGGUGAGUAACACGUGAGUAACCUGCCCCCUUCUUCUGGAUAACCGCAUGAAAGUGUGGCUAAUACGGGAUAUUCUGGGUCUGUCGCAUGAUGGGUCUGGGAAAGAUAUUGUUUCGGUGGGGGAUGGGCUCGCGGCCUAUCAGCUUGUUGGUGGGGUGAUGGCCUACCAAGGCGGUGACGGGUAGCCGGCCUGAGAGGGUGGACGGUCACACUGGGACUGCGACACGGCCCAGACUCCUACGGGAGGCAGCAGUGGGGAAUAUUGCACAAUGGGCGCAAGCCUGAUGCAGCGACGCCGCGGGAGGGAUGGAGGCCUUCGGGUUGUGAACCUCUUUCGCCAGUGAAGCAGGCCUGCCUCGUUUGUGGGUGGGUUGACGGUAGCUGGAUAAGAAGCGCCGGCUAACUACGUG
rnacentral:rRNA from 1 species